rnacentral:rRNA from 1 species
UUAAGUUAUUAAGGGCGCACGGUGGAUGCCUUGGCACUAGAAGCCGAUGAAGGACGUUACUAACGACGAUAUGCUUUGGGGAGCUGUAAGUAAGCUUUGAUCCAGAGAUUUCCGAAUGGGGAAACCCAGCAUGAGUUAUGUCAUGUUAUCGAUAUGUGAAUACAUAGCAUAUCAGAAGGCACACCCGGAGAACUGAAACAUCUUAGUACCCGGAGGAAGAGAAAGAAAAUUCGAUUCCCUUAGUAGCGGCGAGCGAAACGGGAAGAGCCCAAACCAACAAGCUUGCUUGUUGGGGUUGUAGGACACUCUGUACGGAGUUACAAAGGACGACAUUAGACGAAUCAUCUGGAAAGAUGAAUCAAAGAAGGUAAUAAUCCUGUAGUCGAAAAUGUUGUCUCUCUUGAGUGGAUCCUGAGUACGACGGAGCACGUGAAAUUCCGUCGGAAUCUGGGAGGACCAUCUCCUAAGGCUAAAUACUCUCUAGUGACCGAUAGUGAACCAGUACCGUGAGGGAAAGGUGAAAAGCACCCCGGAAGGGGAGUGAAAUAGAACCUGAAACCGUGUGCUUACAAGUAGUCAGAGCCCGUUAAUGGGUGAUGGCGUGCCUUUUGUAGAAUGAACCGGCGAGUUACGAUUUGAUGCAAGGUUAAGCAGUAAAUGUGGAGCCGUAGCGAAAGCGAGUCUGAAUAGGGCGUUUAGUAUUUGGUCGUAGACCCGAAACCAGGUGAUCUACCCUUGGUCAGGUUGAAGUUCAGGUAACACUGAAUGGAGGACCGAACCGACUUACGUUGAAAAGUGAGCGGAUGAACUGAGGGUAGCGGAGAAAUUCCAAUCGAACCUGGAGAUAGCUGGUUCUCUCCGAAAUAGCUUUAGGGCUAGCCUCAAGUGAUGAUUAUUGGAGGUAGAGCACUGUUUGGACGAGGGGCCCCUCUCGGGUUACCGAAUUCAGACAAACUCCGAAUGCCAAUUAAUUUAACUUGGGAGUCAGAACAUGGGUGAUAAGGUCCGUGUUCGAAAGGGAAACAGCCCAGACCACCAGCUAAGGUCCCAAAAUAUAUGUUAAGUGGAAAAGGAUGUGGCGUUGCCCAGACAACUAGGAUGUUGGCUUAGAAGCAGCCAUCAUUUAAAGAGUGCGUAAUAGCUCACUAGUCGAGUGACACUGCGCCGAAAAUGUACCGGGGCUAAACAUAUUACCGAAGCUGUGGAUUGUCCUUUGGACAAUGGUAGGAGAGCGUUCUAAGGGCGUUGAAGCAUGAUCGUAAGGACAUGUGGAGCGCUUAGAAGUGAGAAUGCCGGUGUGAGUAGCGAAAGACGGGUGAGAAUCCCGUCCACCGAUUGACUAAGGUUUCCAGAGGAAGGCUCGUCCGCUCUGGGUUAGUCGGGUCCUAAGCUGAGGCCGACAGGCGUAGGCGAUGGAUAACAGGUUGAUAUUCCUGUACCACCUAUAAUCGUUUUAAUCGAUGGGGGGACGCAGUAGGAUAGGCGAAGCGUGCGAUUGGAUUGCACGUCUAAGCAGUAAGGCUGAGUAUUAGGCAAAUCCGGUACUCGUUAAGGCUGAGCUGUGAUGGGGAGAAGACAUUGUGUCUUCGAGUCGUUGAUUUCACACUGCCGAGAAAAGCCUCUAGAUAGAAAAUAGGUGCCCGUACCGCAAACCGACACAGGUAGUCAAGAUGAGAAUUCUAAGGUGAGCGAGCGAACUCUCGUUAAGGAACUCGGCAAAAUGACCCCGUAACUUCGGGAGAAGGGGUGCUCUUUAGGGUUAACGCCCAGAAGAGCCGCAGUGAAUAGGCCCAAGCGACUGUUUAUCAAAAACACAGGUCUCUGCUAAACCGUAAGGUGAUGUAUAGGGGCUGACGCCUGCCCGGUGCUGGAAGGUUAAGAGGAGUGGUUAGCUUCUGCGAAGCUACGAAUCGAAGCCCCAGUAAACGGCGGCCGUAACUAUAACGGUCCUAAGGUAGCGAAAUUCCUUGUCGGGUAAGUUCCGACCCGCACGAAAGGCGUAACGAUUUGGGCACUGUCUCAACGAGAGACUCGGUGAAAUCAUAGUACCUGUGAAGAUGCAGGUUACCCGCGACAGGACGGAAAGACCCCGUGGAGCUUUACUGUAGCCUGAUAUUGAAAUUCGGCACAGCUUGUACAGGAUAGGUAGGAGCCUUUGAAACGUGAGCGCUAGCUUACGUGGAGGCGCUGGUGGGAUACUACCCUAGCUGUGUUGGCUUUCUAACCCGCACCACUUAUCGUGGUGGGAGACAGUGUCA